rnacentral:rRNA from 1 species
UACAGAGGGGGCAAGCGUUGUUCGGAAUUACUGGGCGUAAAGGGCGCGUAGGCGGCCUGCUAAGUCGAUCGUGAAAUCCCCGGGCUUAACCCGGGAACUGCGACCGAUACUGGUUGGCUUGAAUUCGGGAGAGGGAUGCGGAAUUCCAGGUGUAGCGGUGAAAUUCGUAGAUAUCGGAAGGAACACCGGUGGCGAAAGCGGCGCGCUGGACCUCUUCUGACGCUGAGGCGCGAAAGCCAGGGGAGCAAACGGG